GACGAACGCUGGCGGCGUGCUUAACACAUGCAAGUCGAACGAUGAAGCCGGAGCUUGCUCUGGUGAAUUAGUGGCGAACGGGUGAGUAACACGUGAGUAACCUGCCCUUGACUCUGGGAUAACUGCGGGAAACUGUAGCUAAUACCGGAUACGACCCUCGGAGGCAUCUCCUGGGGGUGGAAAGAAUUUCGGUCAAGGAUGGACUCGCGGCCUAUCAGCUAGUUGGUGAGGUAAAGGCUCACCGAGGGGACGACGGGUAGCCGGCCUGAGAGGGUGACCGGCCACACUGGGACUGAGACACGGCCCAGACGCAUACGGGAGGCAGCAGUGGGGAAUAUUGCACAAUGGGCGCAAGCCUGAUGCAGCAACGCCGCGUGAGGGAUGACGGCCUUCGGGUUGUAAACCUCUUUUAGCAGGGAAGAAGCGAAAGUGACGGUACCUGCAGAAAAAGCACCGGCUAACUACGUGCCAGCAGCCGCAGUAAAAC
rnacentral:rRNA from 1 species